rnacentral:misc_RNA from 1 species
GAUGAAGAACGUAGCGAAACGCGAUAAGUAGUGUGAAUUGCAGAAUUCAGUGAAUCAUCGAAUCUUUGAACGCACAUUGCGCCCCUUGGUAUUCCAUGGGGCAUGCCUGUUCGAGCGUCAUUUGUACCUUCAAGCUCUGCUUGGUGUUGGGUGUUUGUCUCGCCUCUGCGUGUAGACUCGCCUCAAAACAAUUGGCAGCCGGCGUAUUGAUUUCGGAGCGCAGUACAUCUCGCGCUUUGCACUCAUAACGACGACGUCCAAAAGUACAUUUUUACACUCUUGACCUCGGAUCAGGUAGGGAUACCCGCUGAACUUAAGCAUAUCAAUAAGCGGAGGA